rnacentral:tRNA from 1 species
UGCCGAAUGGUGUAAUGGUAGCACAGCACACUCUGAAUGUGCUUGUCAUGGUUCGAAUCCAUGUUCGGCAACCA